AUACGUAGGUGACAAGCGUUAUCCGGAUUUACUGGGCGUAAAGGGCGUGUAGGCGGUCUUGCAAGUCAGAAGUGAAAUUCCUGAGCUCAACUCGGGCGCUGCUUCUGAAACUGCAGGACUUGAGUGCUGGAGGGGAUAGCGGAAUUCCUAGUGGAGCGGUAAAAUGCGCAGAUAUUAGGAAGAACACCGGUGGCGAAGGCGGCUAUCUGGACAGUAACUGACGCUGAGGCGCGAAAGCGUGGGGAGCAAACAGGAUUAGAUACCCUGGUAGUCCACGCUGUAAACGAUGAUUACUAGGUGUGGGGGGACUGACCCCUUCCGUGCCGCAGUUAACACAAUAAGUAAUCCACCUGGGGAGUACGGCCGCAAGGUUGAAACUUAAAGGAAUUGACGGGG
rnacentral:rRNA from 1 species